UGCUAGCGCCGUGUUGAAUACACUUGGUUCCUAGGCCGUGUUACAAAGAGCCACAGGAAAUAAAACAAAGAAAUGGAAACGAUCGGUUGGAGAUAAGGAUAAACAAAAGAAACUAUUUGGAAGGUGACGCAGGCAAUGAUGGACAGCAGACAAACAAGAACCACCAUGCAGGCUGCGAUGACCACAUUCCUCCUCUUCUCCUUCUCGGCCUGCUGAAGCUCCCACCAUUCCAGGUCGCUGAACUGGCAGCGCUCACCCAUGUAGCCUGACACGCAACUGCAACAGGAUCCGUCGGUCGGAACCAUCCAGUGCAGACGUCUCCACCCUCGACUCGUCGCACCAGAAAAGACGGUCCUCCGUGAAGUCGACGGUCAGACCGCCGGGAGAUACGAGUCGGCCUGCGGGGGGGUGGACAUGAUCAAUGCAACACCUGUAUGAGGACACGCGCAGCCGACGCAGCAGCCAGUCGGUAUGACCCGAGUCAAGCUUCUCAUGCCUAAGAACAACGGCUGAUCAAAAGAUCCCGCACCCCCUCCCAGCCCCCGCCUCCUGCCAAAACAGGCAUAGGGACGAGACCAUCUCAGGUGGCUCGGUGACAGUGACAAACUAUCAAGAGGAGAACAGACGACUCGUUCAUCUGGCAGCCAGGAAGCUGGCAAAGCUUGUCGUUGGAAGGACAACCGGAGAAGCCCGCCGGAGGGAGGAGGAAGAGGAGGAGGAAGAAGAGAUGGUUUCCUUGGCAACUGCUAAUUUAUAUCCACCAACAAACUGAUAAAGCGCUAUUUGCUCAUCAAUUAUUUGUGCAGCAGCUGUGAAGUCUCUCUGUAAGUUUUCUAAAGGCUUUUUUUCACCCAUUUUAAUCCGACAAGAAUCUGCACUCAAGAAGCUUUAGAGCGGCUAAUUAGGUGCGUAAUCUAAAUCCGGGCUGCUAAGGACUAAAAAUCCACAUGGUGACACUUUCAAACAGACAUAGUGGAAGCUUUUUGGGCUGUUUAAGACGUUUAUCUGCUGUAAUUGUCUUUUUUUUUUAUUGAGAAAGUAGGGUGCAUACUAAACCUUUAAGCAACCUGCCCGCCAUAUUUGGAUAAGGAGGAGCCCUCCUCCCGUUGUUACCUCGUGUGAUCAAUGCUCCACGGAGAGAACAAAUGUCACAUUUUCCGACCGUCUGGCAAGCUGUCUGGCACAGACGGGGAUUCCAUUUAAAGGUUAGCAUGUGUCACUCUCGGAAUGACAAUGAUCCUGAUGAGAAGGAAGCGGGGCGGAGAAGUUGAGACGUCAUCGAGUCAGGAAAGGCUUUGAAUUGGGGUCGCAAAGUGUAUUAUGUGGGAGUCGCACGCAAAUAAAGUCGCUAUGUGGGCAGGGAAGUGUAAGUGGAUGCACUCGGAUGCGCCUGGCUGAGACGUUGUGUGUGUGUGUGUGUGCUAUACUACGGAAAGUAAACUUGGGUAUACUUUGAGUAGUCGGUGUG